GAGUGUAGCUCAGUGGUAGAGUGCAUGCUUUGUAUGUAUGAUGCCCUGAGUUCAAUCUCCAGCUUCUCC
rnacentral:tRNA from 1 species